GGGGAAUUUUGGACAAUGGGCGCAAGCCUGAUCCAGCAAUGCCGCGUGCAGGAUGAAGGCCUUCGGGUUGUAAACUGCUUUUGUACGGAACGAAAAGCCUCUCUCUAAUACAGGGGGGUGAUGACGGUACCGUAAGAAUAAGCAUCGGCUAACUCAGUGCCAGCAGCCGCGGUAAUACGGAGGAUGCAAGCGUUAUCCGGAUUUAUUGGGUUUAAAGGGAGCGUAGGCGGACUAUUAAGUCAGCUGUGAAAGUUUACGGCUCAACCGUGAAAUUGCAGUUGAAACUGGUCGUCUUGAGUGCAGUAAAGGUGGGCGGAAUUCGUGGUGUAGCGGUGAAAUGCUUAGAUAUCACGAAGAACUCCAAUUGCGAAGGCAGCUCACUGGAGUGUAACUGACGCUGAUGCUCGAAAGUGUGGGUAUCAAACA
rnacentral:rRNA from 1 species